AUCAUGCUAUUAAUAGCACAGCUGACAUGUGUAAACAAACACGUGAGUGCACACACAGAAUUUCGGCAGGAAAAUACUCACAACUACUUGGAAAUAAAACCUAAAAAGACAACAGGAAUUUACCAGACGAAAAUGCCAGAUCUCUAGGAUAAUAUAGUUUUUAUUAGUUGACCAGUCCUUGAGCAUAGACGACAUCCUGAAUAUUCUGAGAAACAAGUGGGCCAUGCAACCUCCCAAGCUGCUCAUCUGCAUCUUAGGAGGCGAUAAAUCGGAUGCGUGCAUGACCAGUGACGUGGCGAAAGAAAUUUGUGAGGCUCUGGUUGAGGCAGUCCUGAGUACCGAUGUCUGGUUGAUGACGGGUGGUCUCCAGCUUGGAUUGGUGAAGAGCAUAGGGGAGGCCUUGGCUGAAGAAGCCACGGGUCGCGCUUUAAUCAAGCAGAGGGAUCUGGUGGCAAUAGGCGUAGCACCUCUCAGUGUCCUGCAUCAGAAAGAGAAAUUCAGCGUCACCCGAAGCCUCCAAAGAGUACCCCGAUAGUACUGGACUAUUCUGCACAUACGGCCGAAAAGCCGGGUAGCAUGCUUGAACCGAAUCACACUCACUUCAUCUUAGUGGAUGACGACGGACAGGAGCUGGGUAUUGAAGCCAAGACAAGGAACCAACUGAUAGCCAAGACAAGGAACCAACUGAUCAACAAGAUAGCGACUUGGAAAAUAGGAGAAGACGUCACAAAUGCCACAAUUCCUGCUGUCUAUCUCCUCCUUGGCGGUGACGUCACCAUCUUCGAGACUCUGGCGGAUGCCGCCAAUAACAACAUUCCGAUCGUCGUCUUCCCAGAAUCCAAAGGGGCCGCCGAGGUGCUGGUUGAAAUCUUGGAUGCUCACGAGAGGAUCGAUCAGAAACAGUUCGGAAAAGAGGCCGUUAAAAUUUUGAUAAGGAAGCUCCACUUGACAGAAGACACUGCAGUUCAUCAAUUCAAUGGGCAGAUUCAGUCUGUUAUCGAACGACGUCAUCUAAUCAAAAUCUAUCUGCCGAAGCAAAAAAAGGAUAACGGCACCAUUCUCACUGUCUUGAUGCAAGCUUCCAUGGUGACCACCACGGAGCUGAUGCCAGCCAUAAGAUGCAUGGAGAGUGCCCCACAAGGACUCGACGAUUCUGCCGUCGUCACCAAAAGUGGUUCCGAUGAGGUGAAACAACAACAUGGACCGGACGACUCGGAGACAGACAAGAUAUUACGCCGCCAGUACGAGGACAUGCACCGGGCUGUCACCGGGAACCAAAUUCACACUGCCAAGUCCAAUUUUGAUGAAAACAGCGUGAUAUGGCAGAACUUGGACUUGGUGAAAAAGUUACUGCACAUCGCCCUCGUCAAUGAUCAGCACAAAUUUGUCAAGUUCUUCAUCGUGGUUGGGAGGAUUGACGUCGGGAAAGUCCUGACAAACGAUCAACUGAAGAAAUUGUACAACGAGAUAGAUAAUCGCUCUGUUGUCUUCAAAAUAUUGGAGGAAAUGAAGGAAAAUGAAACGAAUUCCGACAACAAGUUUUCCCUGGAGGAUGUCGAUCGUCUCAUGAAAGAGCUGAUUUUUGACACGUACACGACUCAUAGGGAUGAGCCUGCCAAGCACCCAUAUAAGGAGUUGUUUUUGUGGGCGGUGCUCCAGGAUCGCAUCCCGAUGGCCAUGGUCUUUUGGAAGCUUGGCAAGCUGUCCAUGGGAGGCGCGCUAGUGGCACUCAAGCUCCUGAGGGAAUUGUCAAACCGCCAGGAAGAGAUUGACGCAAAGAAAGCUGCCAAUAUGAAGCAGCAUGCCGAGAAAUUCGAGCAGAUGGCAGUAGAUAUCCUGGACAUGUGCUAUGAGGACGACAGACGGCGUACAUCGGAACUGUUGGCGCGGGUCAUGCCGGAGUGGGGUGGUGCCACGGGUCUGGACAUCGCCGCUGCUGCGAAGAGCAAGCUCUUCAUAUCGCAAGUGGGCGUGCAGAGUCUGCUCAGCGAGCUCUGGAUGGGAAGGCUGUUUAUUACAACACACACAUUUAGGAUCUUCCUGUGUCUGCUCUUUCCCUUCUUCUCAACCUUUCUGAUAACCUUCUGUGCCGAGAAUGACACGAGUGUUCCACUGAAAAGGAAAAAGGGACGUGUACCUGCGAAAACGUCGGGUAACAGUAAUGGAAUGGCUCAGAACGACAGAAAUUGUGGAUAUGGAGGGGAAUUGGACGAACUCUGGUGGUACGAGAAGUUGAAACUUUUCAUGGAGGCACCUGUUGUAUGUUUCAGCUACGAUGCGAUUUCCCACAUGGCGUUUCUGGUGCUGUUCAGCUACAUCAUGCUGUCCAACUUUCAUCCAGAAGUCUCAGUCUUUGAGAUUGUUCUGAUGUUCAUGGUCUUCACAAAGUUCACCGAGGAAUUACGCCAGAUACUUCAGGAGGAGUACAACACGCUGCUGCACCGUUUCCAAGCCUGGCUGUUGGGCUGGAACAUUGUGGACCUGAUCUCCCUGGUCAUGUUCGCUGUCGGUGUCGGCCUGCGAUUCCACCCAGCAACCUUCGCCGCGGCGCGCAUUGUGCUGGCUCUGGACCUCAUGGUGUUCUACCUCCGGAUUCUAAACAUCUGCUACGCCAGCAAGCUUUUGGGUCCAAAGCUCAUCAUGAUCACAAGGAUGAUGGUGGAUUUGAUCAGCUUUGUCUGUAUCCUGCUUGUGUUUCUGAUCGCCUAUGGAGUAACCUGUCAGGCCAUCUUCUAUCCUAAUUCCACCGAUCCAGAGUCCAUCGCUAAAGGAGUCCUGUACCGAUCCUACUUCCAGCUGUACGGCGAGCUGUUUCUGGAUGGUUACGACAACUGUGCUACGGACGAGACGCAACUUGAAGGUGGUAUGGUGUCCUGCCCCCAACAUUCCUGGUUCUCUACAGUUAGUUUAGUCUUCUACCUGUUCAUCAGUAACAUCCUUCUGAUCAACCUCCUCAUUGCUAUGCUGAACUACACCUUCACAGCAGUUCAAGAGAACACGGAUGCAUACUGGAAAAUUCAGAGGUACCAGCUGAUCAAGGAAUAUUACCGCCGCCCAGCGUUAGUUUCCCCUUUCAUCCUGCUGGUUCAUAUGUACCAGUUGGUGCGCUACCUCGUGGAGCGAUUUUCUGAAUGCAAAUUGUACAGGGUGCCUAAUCUCAUGAAGAGAAACUUUCAGCCCAAGGUGAUGGCGGAGCUGUUGGCCUUUGCGAAGUUGAAGUGCCAGGAUUAUCUGACCGAUCUGAAAGAGAAGAAGGUGGACAAAAAGAAGAAGAAGAUGGCGAAAAUCGAAAAGAAUUUGUCAAUGAAGGCUACCCAGAAGCAGGUGGAGGAAAUCAAAAAAGAGCUCGAGGCACUGUCCUCACGCAUGAAGAGGAAUCAGAUUCUGAGUGAAAAUUGUGACGUAGGAAAAGAAGUAACAACCCGAACGAGAUGCGACAAGAAAAAAGCAACAAGGCCCCAAACGGCUUAUGAGUAGUGAUGUAGGGUGGACGGAACACCUGCUUGGACUCCAGUUUGCCCUUUUCCUUUACUGAAUCCCACCCUUUCGUCCAGUCGAGCAGGAUAGACGGAAAGCUCUUUGUUUUUCGUUAUUAUCUUGGAAAUAUAGCUACAACCAUCAGAGAACGAUAACUAUGCCAAAGGAUGUUGCGCAUUCAUGUUGAGGUACAACUGUUUAACGGCUUGGUUUUUGCUGUCACGAUUUCGAGGUCUUUUUUAAGCUCUGACAGGAGCUUCUACGUGUUGAUCACUUGGUGGUCAGUCGGUCGGUCGGUCUGUCUGCCUGUCGUCUGUCUGCCCCGAAAAUUGACCCAAGUGUGGUGUUCCAUAUGUGCCAUCGGCGCUGAUAUUUUUAAGCUCUGGCAGGGAUAGGCCUAAGUUUGGUCGAUUUCAUGCAAGACUGUCAAGUAUGACUUCUUGCAACACGACCAGAGCUUAUUGUGCACUCGCACUUUUUGUAUCCUCCUAGGAGUACCAACUGCCACUACCUUUUUUCCUACCAGCUUAGGGGUUCCUAAUAAUUAUUUUCUAUCUUCCUAUAAAGGGGUUUUGUGAUGCCUAUUUUUCAAUUUCCUAUGGGGGUCUUUUCAAGAGGAGUUUUCAGGGGUUUUCUCUAUAAACACUUCCUAUUUUUAAGCUCUGGCAGGGGCUUUUAUACUUGUCACUUGGUGGUCGGUCGGUCGGAUGGUCUGUCCGUCGGUCCCGAAAAUUGACCAAAAGUAUGGUGUUCCAUUAGUGCCAUCGGCGUCGCAU
rnacentral:misc_RNA from 1 species